rnacentral:misc_RNA from 1 species
UUUCCGUAGGUGAACCUGCGGAAGGAUCAUUAAUGAAAUGUUAGGAUGCUCUUUUUAGAGGUCCGACCCAAUUCAUUUUCUCACACUGUGCACACACUACUCUUUUACACCCAUUUUUAUAACUCUACAAGUUUAAAAGAAUGUAUAAAGUCUCUUAAUUGAGCAUUAAAAGUUUAAUAAAACUUUCGGCAACGGAUCUCUUGGCUCUCGCAUCGAUGAAGAACGCAGC